CAGCAGCCGCGGUAAUACGUAGGUGGCAAGCGUUGUCCGGAAUUAUUGGGCGCAAAGCGCGCGCAGGCGGCCUAUCCAGUCUGUCUUAAAAGUUCGGGGCUCAACCCCGUGAUGGGAUGGAAACUAGUAGGCUAGAGUAUCGGAGAGGAAAGCGGAAUUCCUAGUGUAGCGGUGAAAUGCGUAGAUAUUAGGAAGAACACCAGUGGCGAAGGCGGCUUUCUGGACGAAAACUGACGCUGAGGCGCGAAAGCCAAGGGAGCGAACGGGAUUAGAUACCCCUGUAGUCCCUGUCUCUUAUACA
rnacentral:rRNA from 1 species